AUUGAACGCUGGCGGAAUGCUUUACACAUGCAAGUCGAACGGCAGCACGGACUUCGGUCUGGUGGCGAGUGGCGAACGGGUGAGUAAUGUAUCGGAACGUGCCCAGUCGUGGGGGAUAACGUAGUGAAAAUUACGCUAAUACCGCAUACGAUCUAUGGAUGAAAGCGGGGGAUCGCAAGACCUCGCGCGAUUGGAGCGGCCGAUAUCAGAUUAGGUAGUUGGUGGGGUAAAGGCCCACCAAGCCAACGAUCUGUAGCUGGUCUGAGAGGACGACCGGCCGCACUGGAACUGGGACACGGUCCAGACUCCUACGGGAGGCAGCAGUGGGGAAUUUUGGACAAUGGGCGAAAGCCUGAUCCAGCCAUUCCGCGUGCAGGAUGAAGGCCCUCGGGUUGUAAACUGCUUUUGUACAGAACGAAAAGGUUUCUACUAAUACUAGGAGCUCAUGACGGUACUGUAAGAAUAAGCACCGGCUAACUACGUGCCAGCAGCCGCCGUAA
rnacentral:rRNA from 1 species